rnacentral:snRNA from 1 species
CAUCAUAAACUAUCAUAGAUU